AUGUGUAUGUGUGUGUGUGUGUGUAUGAGUGUUGGCAAAGGAGAGGUCACGAACGGAACAACUUUCACGAUUAUAAACUCGAGGAAAGAAGGAGAAGAAGAAGAAGACACUAACUGCACAAUCGAACUAAUCGAAUAGUUUGAAUAGUUUCGAUUGAUUAACCUAUCGACCGUUGAUCUCCAUAUCUCUCGCCUGCCCUGAAUAUCGUAGUUCAUUUCUUUCACUGGCAUGUGCUGGAAACGAUGAACGUUCUGAUUAGAAAAGGAUAUAUAUGGGCACAUUAUAUUUAUUAUGGCGAGGUGUCAACGUCGUUGCUACUUUCAUCGCCGUUCUCUCUUUGACACGCCGACUCGAGAUGUUUAUUCAGGUACGACUUAAGGGCAAAGGACUUAUGACAUUUAGGACAUUCAUAG